rnacentral:rRNA from 1 species
UACGUAGGGUGCAAGCGUUAAUCGGAAUUACUGGGCGUAAAGCGUGCGCAGGCGGUUGUGCAAGACAGAUGUGAAAUCCCCGGGCUCAACCUGGGAAUUGCAUUUGUGACUGCACGGCUAGAGUGUGUCGAGAGGGGGGUAGAAUUCCCACGUGUAGCAGUGAAAUGCGUAGAGAUGUGGAGGAAUACCGAUGGCGAAGGCAGCCGUCCUCGGGCCAACACUGACGCUCAUGCACGAAAGCGUGGG